rnacentral:rRNA from 1 species
GAUGAACGCUGGCGGCGUGCCUAAUACAUGCAAGUCGAGCGAACGGACGAGAAGCUUGCUUCUCUGAUGUUAGCGGCGGACGGGUGAGUAACACGUGGAUAACCUACCUAUCAGACUGGGAUAACUUCGGGACACCGGAUCUAAUACCGGAUAAUAUUUUGAACCGCAUGGUUCAAAAGUGAAAGACGGUCUUGCUGUCACUUCUAGAUGGAUCCGCGCUGCAUUAGCUAGUUGGUACGGUAACGGCUUACCAAGGCAACGAUGCAUAGCCGACGUGAGAGAGGGAUCGGCGACACUGGAAGUGAGACACGGUCCAGAGGCCUGCGAGAGGCAGCAGUAGGGAAUCUGCCGCAAUGGUCGAAAGCCUGACGGAGCAACGCCACGUGAGUGAUGAAGGUCUUCGGAGCGUAAAACUCUGUUAUUAGGGAAGAACAGAUGUGGAAGGAGCUGUGCACAUCUUGACGGUACCUAAUCAGAAAGCCACGGCUAACUACGUG